AGUGAACGCUGGCGGUAGGCCUAGCACAUGCAAGUCGAACGGCAGCACAGUAAGAGCUUGCUCUUACGGGUGGCGAGUGGCGGACGGGUGAGGAAUACAUCGGAAUCUACUUUUUCGUGGGGGAUAACGUAGGGAAACUUACGCUAAUACCGCAUACGACCUACGGGUGAAAGCAGGGGGUCUUCGGACCUUGCGCGAUUGAAUGAGCCGAUGUCGGAUUAGCUAGUUGGCGGGGUAAAGGCCCACCAAGGCGACGAUCCGUAGCUGGUCUGAGAGGAUGAUCAGCCACACUGGAACUGAGACACGGUCCAGACUCCUACGGGAGGCAGCAGUGGGGAAUAUUGGACAAUGGGCGCAAGCCUGAUCCAGCCAUACCGCGUGGGUGAAGAAGGCCUUCGGGUUGUAAAGCCCUUUUGUUGGGAAAGAAAAGCAGCAGGUUAAUACCCCGCUGUUCUGACGGUACCCAAAGAAUAAGCACCGGCUAACUUCGUG
rnacentral:rRNA from 1 species